AUCAAGAAGCCAAAUGUGCAAUUCGCAAAGACAAAGUUUUCCAACAUUCUUUGAGCGAUUCGAAUUGCCUUCCUGAGCAUAAAAAGCGUUGCAUUACAGCCGGCGGCUGUCAUUAGAUUUUUAUUCGAAAAAGCAACCACUGCUCAUUGAAAAAAUGAUUCGUCGCUUUGGAUACGAGCGGAUGCCCUUGGACAACGAAUUCAUGGAGUACAUGUUGAAACAUUUCUCCUUGCUGGGGUUCAUCAUUUUUGUCAUCGGAGGAAUUUUCUAUCUGAUUUUGCUCGGCUUGAGAUUCAUCAGCAACCUGUGGAAGGAGUGGUUGGACUGA